rnacentral:rRNA from 1 species
CAGUCCCUCUGCUACCUCGGCGGGGUGACCCGGAUCUUGGCCGUCGACUGCAAUGCCUCCCUCACCAACAUCCAUGGCCAUCUCUCCCGCUCUCUCCUCGCCGGGCAGCCCUUCACGCUCAAGUACCAACUCCCCAACUUGGACCUCGACUCGCUCAUCUUCGUCUCCACUGACGAAGACCUUGACAACCUUGUCGACGAGUAUGACCGCGUCGCCGCCACCUCCUCCUCCAGCGGCGCCUCCUCCUGCACCUCCUGGAUCCGCCUCUUCCUCUUUGCCAAGCCCGAGUCCUCCUCCUCCCUCGGCUCCCUCCUCGACGACUCCUCCAAGUCCGAGAACUGGUUCAUCCACGCGCUCAACAGCACCAUCUUCGGCUCCUUCGACGGCAUCCCGCGCGGGAUCUCCACGGACUCUGCCUCCAUCAACUGCCUCCUCGGCCUCAAGGACGACAAUGCCUCGCAGCACUCGUGCAGCGGGGUGCCCAACUCUGGCCUGGCCAAGGACCAGCAGGCCAACCAGCAGAAGCUCGCAGCCGCCACCGCGAGGCACCAGCAUGACGUGUAG